AUUCAAUGGUUGAGAAUAAUAGAUUUUUUUUUAAAAAAAUAAUGACGGGUGAUGCUACUGAUACAACCCACAUAGGGUUGUACAUUCUACAACCCACAUAUCUAGGGGUUGUUUGGCCUAGCUAUUCAAAAAUAAUUCUGAGCCCAAAAUUACUUUUGAUCUCAGUAGAGCAUUUGGAAAUGACAUUCUGAAAAUCCGAUUCUGUUUUCUAUAAUCAGAAAACUAAUUUUGAAGGCUUCAAAAUUAAAAGCAGAAAAAAACUGUUUCUCCAAAACUGAUUCUGAUUUUGAACUCAAACUUCUAAUUUUUAUUUUUAUUUUAGAUUCAAAGUAUAAAUUUAACAUUAAAUUUAAAUUUUGAAAUUUUAAAUUCAUAUUUAAAUUUUUAAAUCUCAACUUUUCAAAUUUAAAAUUUAAAAUUUAGAUUUAAA
rnacentral:lncRNA from 1 species